CUUCCCCUGUCCCCAGCUGAGCCGGGGCUUGGUUCCUCGGGUGAUGCCGAGAUCAGCCAGGAGCUCCUCUCGUCCGCCCCAGUUUACCCUCCCGGUAGGGGUGAGCAUCUCUGGGAUGGGAAAAGCAGAAUUAGAUCUCCCCGCAAAGCGUUGCCUUGAGUCAGCAGGAGUCAUUCCAAAUGUUUUCUGCAGCGAGGACGGCAAGGCAGCCCUGCGGCCCCCGGGGAGCCAGGAGGACCGCAGCCAAGGAUGCAGGGAUGCAGAUGGGAGGGAUGUCCGUGGUGCCUGCCCGAGAGUGGCCGCAGCUUUCUUUAAGAGUCAUCGAGGUCCCAAGGGUUAACUCUGGGGAGAAAACGAAAAUGACUUACAACAGGGUUUUACUCUGCAGCCCAGACAGAUAUGGACCUCAUCAUGUAGCUUGGGCUGAACUAGAAUUUACUGCUUUUGGCUCAGCCUCCUGAGUGCUGGGAAAGUAGGCAUGUGCCACUGUCCUGGCCUCCAGAACAAUAAUCUCAUACAAACUGUUACACAGCUGAUAAGGUGGCUCGGCCGGAAAAGGCCCCUGCCGGGAAGCCCAGUGACCUGAGUCGAUGUUCAUUCGGGACCCACACUGCAGAAUGAGAGAGCUGACUCCUGCAAGGUGUCCUCUGACCUCUACAUGUGUGCUGGGUCGUGCACACCCCUGCCUCCUCGACAGAUACAUGAGGAAAGGAAUAGUAAAGAGAAGCAGGGGUCUAACUGCCUAGAAGCAAUGACCAGCUUAACUAACUAGAAGAUGCUCAGACCAACUGAGCCACCUGGAAAGGACUCUCCAACUUGUUAAGCUGCCUGCAGACUGCUGUGUGCUUCCGGUUUCCUGAUGUUGUGAGCUGCAACCCAUGCCGGGCCUUGGUGACUCAGCUGUCUUUGAGUCAUUUCUGCUCCUGUAAGUGACCCCUCCCCCACAUUCCUGUAAGGAACCCAAUAAAACUCAUUGGUUUACUAAGUUA